rnacentral:lncRNA from 1 species
AGGCUACACCUCAAAUACGGAUUGAAUUUUCGCAUGAGUUUUGAGGGACACCCAUUCAAAGCAUAGCACCCUUCGGCUUCAGAGAAGCUCCAGCCCUGUUGUCACCAAGCAGGUUCCCCCUAGGCAGAGCGCCAAGAAGCAGCCCAGGCGAUCCCAAGGCGCACAAGUGCUCUCACCAGGCUGCGCGCUGGCGGGUCGGUGCACAGGGACGGGGUCGCCGCCCACGCGCGCUUGGUUCAGGGAGCCCAGGCUGUCCCUACCCGCGGCUACAAAAGCUCGCCGAGUCUUCCUGUCCACCCAAUCGCCCCACAUGUCAGCGGUUGGUCGCCUCGCGGUGCAGUGCUGGGCACGCGAGCCCCUCCCGCAGUCAUUCUCAGCACAAGCACCAGCCUGGAGCCCCGCAGCGACAGAGCUGAGAGCCCCCAAGCCGCAGAGGUCGUGCGGAGCAGGUUGGUCUAAUUGAAGGCAAUGGAGAAGUAAGUCUUUAUGGAUCAAAAUCUUAGCUCUAGAAAAGUUGCCCUUGGCUAUAAAGCCUGAAGUGGGUGUUGGAGUAGUCAACGACUAACCCAGGAUGGAUUUGUGCCAAUACACAAGUGACAACAUCUUUCACAGCUGAAGAGUCGGAGGAUAAAGCCAUGCCCACAGAUCGUUGUCACACAGAUUUGAUUAAGUGAAACAAAGCCCCAGCUGCUGGAGCAGAGGUUCCACUUGGGUUCCACAGACACCCACAGCCCAAAUCCCUGGAGGCCUAAGGCAAUAGCUAAUUGAGACUAUGCAUCACUAUUAAGGCAUCUUCACUAAAGGGCGCUGUGGAAACGCUGCCUGAGAUGCAGACACCUGUCAGAAGGGGGCUAAAUUUCAAACAAGGAACGUGGUGUUGCAUCACAAUAAAGUAGAUUCUAGUAUUACCUUCCUUUUUCAGAAGAGGAGACCAAUGGGGAGCAUUGGAAUGAUUUGGUUGCAAGCAUACUACACUACUUGUAAACUGCAGACACAGGCUUAAAAAAAGUGAAAAACUAACCAUGCAAUAAAGAAUGGAAUGAACCAUGAAGCUGUUUCUGUGGCCAGUCAUGUUUUUGAAGCAUAUCCCAUGCUAAUUUCUAGAACAGAAGAAACACACGUGUUCUUGUGUGUAAACCCAGUCCAUGGAAGAGACCGUCUGCUUGUCCCUCCUGAUCUCUGGGCCCAGACAACCAGUAGUCACCAUUCCAAGUGAGGGGUGGCUGCAACUCUACAGCCCCGUUCGUCUCUCCUCACUGUCAAAGCUGCUGAGACCCCAGACUCGACACUUGAAAGAAACCCAUGUCUGUGAAGCACUUGUGGACCAUUCAAGAUUGUGGAAGAAUCACUCAAGAGAAGGAGAUAGCAAUAUUUGCAGAUAUGCAAACUGGCCCCUUGCAUGCACAUCCUGGAGCACGUCCUGGAGCCUUUAGAGGAGACGGCUGCUGCUGUUCCAGUCUCUCCUUAGGCAGACUUGAGUUUCUACCCACUCUUCCCAAGCAGCCGCCCCUCCGCACCCGAGCGAGCCAAAGACCUGGCGGGCUGAGUACUCACUGCGCGCUGGACACAUGCUGAGCCGGCACUGCAGGGACACAGGGCGAGCCGCUGGAUGCAGACCUGUGGCCGCGGCAGUUGGGCUUAUCUUGCCCAUGAAGUUGCCUCUGAAGAACCAAGUCCAACUGUGUAUGCUGAGAGAUGUCUGGCUACUUCCUGAUUGACAGUUCUGGCAAGGUGGCAUUGGGCCCUGGCUUUUCCUCUGGAGGCAUCAUCACUUAUAGGAAAAUGUCCCCUGAAGUCCAAGGAUCAAAGCUGCUGGAACACUGAGAAGCUGAACAAAGGAGAACUGUUUCUCAUCAAACCCAGACUUCCAGACUUCCAAUAGGGUAGAAUGAGCAAGUCAGCAAAUCAUCUUCCUUGGAAACAGUGAUAAAACUAGAUGACAUUGUCAACAACAGCCAUUUCAGAAAUCUAGAAAAUGACCAAAGGCAAACAACAAACUGAGAAGCAUUUUUUUUUCCAUGAAAAAUCGCUCUAUUUCUGCAAAAAUAGUGGGAGUCUAUGGCUUCUCAUCCAGGGCUGUUUCUCUCCCCACCCCAGCUCAGUCAGUACAAAGGUUCUGGCAGCAUGAGGCAGACUGAACAGACCUGAAGUUUGAUUGCUGGAAGAAACUGACUCCAGGUUUGGCAGAGGGUGAGAAACCUACUCCCAGCCAUGUUGUCUGGUGACACAGUGACCUUAGGGACAAGUGAAUAGGGAAGGCCAGUGAUUCAUUAACCUGAGGUUGCAGUCCUGGUUGGGGAAAGCAUCAGAAUGGCAGAUAAGCUAGAAAUUUAGUAGGGAUAUGCUGGAAAUGAGACAACCCCAAAGGGGCUUGACCCCAAAGUUGUCCACACACCCCAGCUGCCUUCUGAGCAGAUGUAGGGAGAGACCAGAGAAGGCCUAGGCUAUCCACACAUCUCUGGCUAACCCAGGCUGUAAACCUGUGGAGGAGACACAAGAGGUGGAUUGAUUGCUAAUGGGCAUAUGGGGGAUCUUACUGGUUGAUAGGAACAUUCUCAAAUUGGAUUGUGGUGAUGCUUGCACAACUCUAAGUUUAUCCCAAAUUGCUAAAUUUUACACUAAAAAGGGGUGAACUUUAGGGUAUAUAAAUUAUACAUCAAUAAAGUUGUCAUAAAGCAUUCACAUUCUAAUAAAUGGCUCUAAGAAAUAUUGUUUUGAAAAUUUUCCUUUGGUAUAUUAUGGCACUCCAAAAUCAA